rnacentral:rRNA from 1 species
CAGCCGCCACGGUAAUACGAAGGGGGCUAGCGUUGCUCGGAAUGACUGGGCGUAAAGGGCGCGUAGGCGGAUUGUUUAGUUAGGCGUGAAAUUCCUGGGCUUAACCUGGGGACUGCGCUUAAUACAGGCAGUCUAGAGUGAGGAAGAGGGUUGUGGAAUUCCCAGUGUAGAGGUGAAAUUCGUAGAUAUUGGGAAGAACACCAGUGGCGAAGGCGGCUCACUGGACCGACACUGACGCUGAGGCGCGAAAGCGUGGGGAGCAAACAGGAUUAGAUACCCGGGUAGUCCCUGUCUCUUAUAC